UACAGAGGUCUCAAGCGUUGUUCGGAUUCAUUGGGCGUAAAGGGCGCGUAGGCGGCUUGGCAAGUGGAUGGUGAAAUCCCUCGGCUUAACCGAGGAACUGCCGUCCAAACUGCUUCGCUUGAGACCGGGAGAGGUGAGUGGAAUUCCCAGUGUAGCGGUGAAAUGCGUAGAUAUUGGGAGGAACACCAGUGGCGAAGGCGGCUCACUGGACCGGUACUGACGCUGAUGCGCGAAAGCGUGGGGAGCAAACGGG
rnacentral:rRNA from 1 species